rnacentral:rRNA from 1 species
CCCUUAGAUGUCCUGGGCCGCACGCGCGCUACAAUGACACGUUCAACAAGUACUUUCCUGGCUUGGAAAAGUUUCGGGUAAUCUUUAUAAUACGUGUCGUGCUGGGGAUUGAUCUUUGGAAUUAUAGAUCUUGAACGAGGAAUUCCUAGUAAGCAUAAGUCAUCAGCUUGUGCUGAUUACGUCCCUGCCCUUUGUACACACCGCCCGUCGCUCCUACCGAUUUUGAGUGAUCCGGUGAACCUUUUGGACUGCGGUGUCUUCAUGGCACUCGUGGGAAGUUAAGUAAACCUUACCACUUAGAGGAAGGAGAAGUCGUAACA